rnacentral:rRNA from 1 species
UACGUAGGGUGCAAGCGUUACUCGGAAUUACUGGGCGUAAAGCGUGCGCAGGCGGUUAUUCAAGACAGAUGUGAAAUCCCCGGGCUCAACCUGGGAACUGCAUUUGUGACUGCAUGGCUAGAGUACGGUAGAGGGGGAUGGAAUUCCGCGUGUAGCAGUGAAAUGCGUAGAUAUGCGGAGGAACACCGAUGGCGAAGACAAUCCCCUGGACCUGUACUGACGCUCAUGCACGAAAGCGUGGGGAGCAAACAGG